rnacentral:rRNA from 1 species
AUUGAACGCUGGCGGCAUGCCUUACACAUGCAAGUCGAACGGUAACAGGUCUUCGGAUGCUGACGAGUGGCGAACGGGUGAGUAAUACAUCGGAACGUGCCUAGUAGUGGGGGAUAACUACUCGAAAGAGUGGCUAAUACCGCAUGAGAUCUACGGAUGAAAGCAGGGGAUCGCAAGACCUUGUGCUACUAGAGCGGCCGAUGGCAGAUUAGGUAGUUGGUGGGAUAAAAGCUUACCAAGCCGACGAUCUGUAGCUGGUCUGAGAGGACGAUCAGCCACACUGGGACGGAGAAACGGCCCAGACUCCUACGGGAGGCAGCAGUGGGGAACUUUGGACAAUGGGCGCAAGCCUGAUCCAGCAAUGCCGCGUGCAGGAUGAAGGCCUUCGGGUUGUAAACUGCUUUUGUACGGAACGAAAAGCCCCGGGUUAAUACCCUGGGGUCAUGACGGUACCGUAAGAAUAAGCACCGGCUAACUACGUGCCAGCAGCCGCCGUAA